AUAUCGGAACAUGUCCGGAAGUGGGGGAUAACGUACCGAAAGGUACGCUAAUACCGCAUAUGCCCUGAGGGGGAAAGGGGGGGAUCGCAAGACCUCUCGCUUUCGGAGUGGCCGAUAUCGGAUUAGCUAGUUGGUGAGGUAAAGGCUCACCAAGGCGACGAUCCGUAGCUGGUCUGAGAGGACGACCAGCCACACUGGAACUGAGACACGGUCCAGACUCCUACGGGAGGCAGCAGUGGGGAAUUUUGGACAAUGGGCGCAAGCCUGAUCCAGCCAUACCGCGUGAGUGAAGAAGGCCUUCGGGUUGUAAAGCUCUUUCAGCCGGAAAGAAAUUGCUUCUAUUAAUACUAGGGGUAGAUGACGGUACCGGAAGAAGAAGCACCGGCUAACUACGUGCCAGCAGCCGCGGUAAUACGUAGGGUGCGAGCGUUAAUCGGAAUUACUGGGCGUAAAGCGUGCGCAGGCGGUUUGGUAAGACAGACGUGAAAUCCCCGGGCUUAACCUGGGAACUGCGUUUGUGACUGCCAGACUAGAGUGUAGCAGAGGGGGGUAGAAUUCCACGUGUAGCAGUGAAAUGCGUAGAUAUGUGGAGGAAUACCGAUGGCGAAGGCAGCCCCCUGGGCUAACACUGACGCUCAUGCACGAAAGCGUGGGGAGCAAACAGGAUUAGAUACCCUGGUAGUCCACGCCCUAAACGAUGUCAACUAGGUGUUGGGGAAGGAGACUUCUUUAGUACCGCAGCUAACGCGUGAAGUUGACCGCCUGGGGAGUACGGUCGCAAGAUUAAAACUCAAAGGAAUUGACGGGGACCCGCACAAGCGGUGGAUUAUGUGGAUUAAUUCGAUGCAACGCGAAAAACCUUACCUACCCUUGACAUGUCAGGAAGUUUCCAGAG
rnacentral:rRNA from 1 species